CUUGGAGGGCAAGUCUGGUGCCAACAGCUAGCUCCAAUAGUGUAUAUUAAAGUUGUUGCAGUUAAAAAGCUCGUAGUUGAAUUUCGGAAUCUAUCCGUCGGUCGGGCUUAACUGUUCGCACUGUUCCUACCUUCUGAAUAACUGGCAUGCCAUUAAUUUGGUGCGCCGGGGAAGCAGGGCUAUUACCUUGAAAAAAUUAGAGUGCUUAAAGCAGGCUAUCUCCUGAAUACAUUAGCAAUGGAAUAAUGAAAUGGUUCUAUUUUGUUGGUUUCUAGGAGCACCGUAAUGAUUAAUAGGGAUAAUUGGGGGCAUUAGUAUUCAAUUGUCAGAGGUGAAAUUCUUGGAUUUGUUGAAGACUAACUUCUGCGAAGGCAUUUACCAAGGAUGUUUUCAUUAAUCAAGAACGAAAGUUAAGGGAUCGAAGACGAUCAGAUACCGUC
rnacentral:rRNA from 1 species